rnacentral:lncRNA from 1 species
ACAAAACCCUUCAACAACAUCUCCAAACCUUUUCUCAUGGAGGAUUUAAUGCCACGAGCUAUCAAGUCGCCGGGUUUAUUCCCGUUGCAAUCUGUUAAACUAACAUCCGCCCCUGCAUCAAGUAACAACUUCACGAUUUCAAUGGAGGUCAAAGCCCCGCCGGCGGCUGCGCAGUGGAGGGCGGUGAGACCGUCGGAACCGGAGGUUUUGUUGACGUCGAUUUUUUUAGUAGCGAUUAAGUAUUUCAAAACACGAAUGCUUCCAUAAACCGAAGCAAUCAUGAGAGAAGUUCGUUCUUCAAAUCCCAUCUUUCCUUUACAUGAAUUAC